AGGAGGAGGGAGGCGUCGAAGGACGACGGCAGGACGUGGAAGGGGCGGGAGGUGGGGGUGGGGGUGAAAGGGGACAAUUGGGGAGGCCUCGGUGAUCCGAAGGAUACGGUGGGUCGCAGGGCACCGCCAGACGGAAUCCCCGCCUAAGUUCAAGAAGGGCGUCAGAAGGGUCCCCGGAUCUGACUCCCAACUCCCAGCCCCAGAGGAAAAGUCCCGUGAACCGCUCCAGAUGAGAGUCUGAGAGGGCGAAGGACACGGCUGAGGAACAGGCCAGCCAGCGGUCGGCCACUGCCCAGCUCUGCUUUACUUCUCAAGUUCCAAAGGCCCUGGAGCUCCGCAUCCAAGGGGAAGGGCACAGGAGACCUUGGCCGUAAAGGCUUCAGACUAAAUUCUCUGUGUUCCCCCGUGGCUCAGAAAGGUCCCUAAAUCUAUAUAUUUACCUUAUUCUAAGAAGCAAUCUGAUAGUUGUGUAUUUGAUAAUGCACUGCUCACAAACAUUAGAAGACUCUUCAUGGUUGCCUUUUAGGGUAAUCUCACAAAGAACUAAUAACUAGCAUUUAUGUAGGGCUUUAAAGUUUGCUAAGCACUUUACUCACAUUCUCAUUUGAUUCUCACAACAACCCUGCGAGACAGGUUGGGGGAGUUGUGACUUGCCUAGGGUCGCUACUAAAAAUCAGGGUCCCGAUUCAAAGCCAAGAGUCAAUCCCAAGUGUAGUACCCUAUUCAUUGGGCCAUCUAGCUGCCUAAAUUUAAAACUUGUUUUACACUUCAGUACAGGGAAUUUAUUCCAGCUAAAACAGUAUGUUGAAUGAAGCCUGUGUUUUAUCAAAGGAUUCAGAUGUUUUACUAUUUAUUUCUCUAAAGAAGAGCAACAUGAAAUUCAUACCCCAUAUAUUGUAGUGGUCUAUUUUUUAAAAAAAUUUGGAUGUAGUCAAAACUUUUUGCAUGUUGCCAUGGAAAACCCAUUCAUGCGAAGAUAAUCAUUUCACUUAGUUUACCAAAAACGACAAAGAAAGUAAAAUAUGAAAGUGCUCCAGAGCGCAAAAUAUUUUAUUUAAGAAUUUACAGUGUCAAAUCUAACACUUUUAGGAAAAAUAGCAGCUCCCAGAUCAUAGGAAGCCUUCUUGAAUUAAAAGGUUUUGGCAGUCUAUGCGGAAAGAACAAUCAGCAGCAGGGCUGAACUGUAGGAAGCCAAGGAUCCAAACAAAGUUUAGAAGACCAAAGAAAAUCACAUUGACUGCUGAUGAGAGAGUCCAGGAGUUAGAAUUAUGGACCAUUAAACAACAACAACAAAAAAAAAAAUAAAUGUGUUUCCACCAGGACUUGCCUUUUAAGUUGAAAUGAAUGAAUUCUAAAUUUUAUUGUACAACCCUGCAAAACAUUUUGGAAUUUAAAUUUCUCCCCCCUAUUUAAUCCAAAUGUUAGCUAGAUAAAAAGAAAGGACCAGUGCUAAUUCCACAUUUACAUCAUUUCUACUUAAGAAGUUCAAAUAGCAAAGUAACAAAUUAUUCAUCUUCCCCCAGCAAAACCUAAAGAAAGUAUGACCUAUUGAUUUUAUAAAUAUUAAAUCUUCUCUCUCAUUGGGCCUCUUCAGACUUAACCAAUAUGAAUAAUAUUGAAAAUAUUCUAAAUUAAACCUAAAAGAUUUUCAAGUUCAUUAGGUAGAGGUCUAUAUUUGAAGUUUAGCAUAUUCAAUAUAUAAACUACUUAAGACCUUAAACUGUUUGGGGGCAGAAAUAACUGAGUCCAGGAUUUCACACAGGAUUCUAUUAUGUUUAACCAUUUUCAAGAUGUGACCAUCGUAAUUAAACUGUGGCAAUAUUAUGAGAGAAAAAAAAAAGGAACUUAACCAUAUUGCACUGUAAAAAAAAAAAAAAAAAAAACACUCGGAAGAGUACAGCAAUGACUAUUAUACAAAAGCUUUUUGUACUAUACAAUUUCUUUUACAAUGAGCCUAAACACAAGCUACAUACAUACUAGGUAAAAUCCAAAUCAAAUUUAUUACAGUCACAGUUUUCAUUUAACAAUGGUUAAUUUGGAUCAGCUGUGGCCCCCACAUCUGUAUGCGCCAGUCAUAGCCUAAGACACAAGUUUUUUUUUGUUUUUGUUUUUUUUGCUGAUGCUCUCUGAUAACUGAACACCUUUCACAUAUGGACAAAACAUCACUCUAACUUUAUGUGCAUUAAAAUUAGUCAUGGUCCUAGUAAGGCCACAGAGAGUUAGGUAAAAGUGGAAACAUACUUGCUACAGGAAAGAAAAUGCACUUCUG